UACGGAGGGUGCGAGCGUUAAUCGGAAUAACUGGGCGUAAAGGGCACGCAGGCGGAGUUUUAAGUUAGAUGUGAAAUCCCCGGGCUUAACCUGGGAAUAGCAUUUCAAACUGGGAGUCUAGAGUACUUUAGGGAGGGGUAGAAUUCCACGUGUAGCGGUGAAAUGCGUAGAGAUGUGAAGGAAUACCGGAGGCGAAGGCAGCCCCUUGGGAAUGUACUGACGCUCAUGUGCGAAAGCGUGGGGAGCAAACAGG
rnacentral:rRNA from 1 species